rnacentral:lncRNA from 1 species
AGCUGGGACUGCUGGCGCCCGCCACUACGCUCGGCUAAUUUUUUUGUGUUUUUAGUAGAGACGGGCUUUCACCGUGUUGGCCUAGCGGUUCUCCAACUCCUGACCUCAUGAUCCCCCCGCCUCAGCCUCCCAAAGUGCUGGGAUUACAAGCGUGAGCCACCGCGACCCGCCAACACUCUUGACAACAGUGCUGUGCUAAGAACUUGGGGGACUUCAAAAAGUUCACCAGUUCCUGUGUCCAUGGGUGAAAAGAUUUUCUACAUCUUUCCUUGACUAGAAACAGAAGUCCUGAAACAAGAAUAUAACGUCAGGAGGCCAGAGGCUUUGUCCUGCCUAAUGUGUUAUUUCCACACUGAAUAAAAGCACCUGAGUCCUGAAUUCUCCAAACACCACCUCACACAGUUUUGGAAUCUCUUUGUCUUCAUUUCCCAGAAUUUGGAAGAGUUCAUCUAGUAUCUCUGGUCUCAGAGUGAGAACAAUGUCUUCUAUGAUGAGUGGCAAACACAACAAGGCAUUUUAAAAAGGUUGUACAUCUAGCAAUACCUAACAAAAUAGGAAAUCAACUUGAUAAGGACAUUUUCUCCUAAAACUGUUAGAUUUUAUCAUCUGUAUAACAUACAUUUUUUCAUCUCUAUAGUAUGAAAACAUCCAUAUGGAUAUGCAUCAUUGCUUUUCAGGUGUCAAAAUUUGUGGAUAAAUAUAUAGUUUAUAAGAAGCAAAUAAGUGGCAAAUAACAAACUGUGACUAUUAAAGUAAUAUGAAAUUCAAAUUCAAAUAAAAAUACAUGUGUGACUAAUAAAUAAAGCUGAUAGCUCAGGGUUCAAAGUAAGAAAGAA